rnacentral:rRNA from 1 species
CGUAACACGUAUGUAACCUACCUUUACCAGGGGGAUAGCCUCUCGAAAGAGAGAUUAAGACCGCAUAAAAUGAAGACACAGCAUUGUGAUUUCAUCAAAUAUUUAUAGGGUAAAGAUGGGCAUGCGGAACAUUAGCUAGUUGGUAAGGUAAUGGCUUACCAAGGCUACGAUGUUUAGGGGAUCUGAGAGGAUGACCCCCCACACUGGUACUGAGACACGGCCCAG